rnacentral:lncRNA from 1 species
CACGCUUAUUCAGUCGUUCCGCGAACGUUUACGCGUGGAACUUGUCACGCGAGCCGGCCCGUCCUUCCGGGCCGGAGGUCCCGCCCCCGGAAGUCCCUGGCCGCCGCGGGCCCGCCACUCAGGGAGGCGCAUGCGUCCUUGCGUUCGGGGCGGGGACGCCGAGGGAGGCUGUCCGGCGCCCUGGGGCCGGCGGCGUCGCGCGUUCCCGCCCUCGGUCCGCCCGCUGAGGCCGGCGCCGUCUGCCCUUCCCCUGCGCGCCGGCGAGCUGGGGCGUCCGCUCUCGGUGCCUGAGCCUCGAGUCCUCGCGGGGCCCGCGCAGCCCGGGGAGGAGACCUCGCUCCCAGCACAGUUCUUCCAGAGUCGUGGGCGCCUGUGCAACACGGUGGUUGGUGAAUGAGUGUAAGAAGAUAGGGGCCUGAAUGAACACGGUAUCACAGGAAAUAGCCUGAGGAAGAUGGCCUGAGGAGCUAAACCCUUUGCGAGCUAGCCAUGGGUGUGUGAUAGAGCUACCUGGGGAGGAGGGACCCAGGGAAUACUGUGAGUGAGUACACCAGCAACCUUAGGGUUUUUUUUUUUUUUUUAAGUUUUAUUUUAUUUAUUUGAAAGGCAGAGUUACAGAGAGACAGAGAAGACACAAAGAUCUUCCAUCUGCUGGUUCACUCCCCAAAUGGCCAUAACAGCUAGGGCUGGGCCAGACCAAAGCCAGGAGCCAGGAGCUUCUUCCAGGUCUGCCACGUGGGUGCAGGGGCCCGAGGACUUGGGCCAUCUUCUCUUUCUUUACUAGGUGCGUUAGCAGGGAGCUGGAUUGGAAGUAAAGCAGCCAGGUCUUGAACCAGCGCCCCUGUGGGAUGCCAGCAUUGCAGAUGGAGGCUUAACCUACUACGCCACAACCUGGGCCCCCAGCCCUAGGAUUGUUAAAAAAAAUUGUGGUAGCUGCCCACUGUGCAGGAACGGUGUCUGUGGACACUGUACGCCUCAGUGGGACCCUUGGCUUUUCCUGGCCCUGGUGAUGCCAGCCAGGGAGGUCUGGUUCUGAGGAUCUAAAUGCUCCGUCCCAGUGAGGGAGCCUGGAGAAGCUGCCUCGUGUCAGGCCGUCUGUGGAAGCCCACUCGUCCCGGAGUCAGAUGCUUGCCAUCAACGCAGAGCUACACACUUUCCCGACACUGACUUCCCGUUUCACAGGCUUGUGAAAGCCGGACUAGCGAGGAGACAACUGCCUGCAGUGAAACUUAAAGUGGCGCUCGUCUUCACAGCUCGUGCUGAGAAUUGAUCAGGUCUGACUGUCGCACAGGCCCAGGCAGUCUCCCGAGAGAGAUACAGCCACGAGCAACAGACCAGAAAGCAGAAAAUGAGAAGAAAGUUGAACCACUCACUUUGACUGUUUGAGUCUGUCUUUAAAAUGAGGCAACACUGCUUGAAACAAGUGAAUGGGUUGAAAUUCUUAGAUUGUGAUCUUUAUUCAUACUUUCGUUGGAAAUAAUUGGGCUACAUGAUAGAAUUUUGUAAUUUUAGAUAAAUGUUUACAUAUGUACAUAUAUAUGUAACUGUAUACCGCAGAGAUUAAAUUGGAGGGUGAUUAGUUGUGGGGAGCAAUCCGGACUAGACUGAGUUACUGGAAUUAAGACUUAUUCUAUGCAUCUGCUCUCCCACAAUAUGGCGCUGGGAGAGAAGUAAACAGCUUCUACACAGGUGCCUCCAGUUCAACCAAUAAACUGUAGGACUUGCUCCUGAUUGGAGAGCA